GCAUUUCUUUGCCAAAAUCUUUUUCCUGAUCUGAUAAAUGCGAAAAAACAAGUUUGGAAAGGAACCGAACUUGCUUUUCCAACAUUAGGCAGUCUGUGUUUUUGCAAAACAGAAAUACUUCCUUAAAAUUGAUUUUAAUUGUAACCAAAAUAACUCGAAUUCAAUCAGCAAUCAUAUCAGUUCACGAAGCACGAGUAUUUCGUUCACAGUCCUUUACUUUAAUCGUGUUAGUGUGAUAUGGGUCCAAUUUAGUUUGAAUGCGUAAAAAGGCAAAUGCCAGAAAUGUUUUCAGAUUGUAGUUAUAUUUAGCUGCAAAUUUUUCUUCGAUUUAAUAGAAAGCUUGAAUAUAUCAAAUUAUUAAAAAUGAUUGACUGCGCCCGACAAAGAGUGAGAUCGGGUUUUGUAAGGGCACUUGCCCGAACACGCAGAGCGUUUUCGACUCCGACGGCGCCCACGUUGGUGCAAUUUUCAUUCAAGCAUUACAAAUUGGUAAAAUUGCUGAAACAUAGUUAUUCUUCUCAAACCACAGUCUUGAGUGAAGAGAAGGAAUUAUAUGUGACCAGCCGGAACGCAUCYGUUUAUCUUCCACAUAAAAAUAUUGGUGAGAGUUCCAGUUGAUGCCCGACGAUUGGAGAAUCAUAUGCACGUAGUGGCAAAACUGAUAGGAGAUGGUGUUGGAGGUGUAGAAAAGGAUGUUUACCACCACAUGGAAAGGGAAAUUAUGAUGUAUACAUCAGUGUUACCAUUAGUUGAUUCGUUUCACAUGGGGUGGAAAAAAAUCAGAUAUUUGGACCUUUUCCUCAGUGUUAUGGAGACGCUCUCAGCAUGAUAAAUGAGCUUGCUAAUAAAACCGACCGCACAGCAGCUAUAUUGCUAAAAAACAUAACGUUUGAUGGCUAUAGAAAAGUAAUGAAGCCUUGCAGUUCCGCUCAGUCUGAACUAAUAGUUAAACGUUUGGCGCUACUUCAUGCAGCCCCUAUAGGAAUGUGCUCACAAAUGUAUCAUCAGUAUGCAAAUAAAGUCGACUAUCGUAUGCGACAAAUAAUGGAUUUUACGGACAGCUUGGACCUAGUUGGCGAGCAGACAAGAUUAACUAAUGCUAUCUCGGGUCAUCCAAUUCUAGAUACUUAUCGAGAGGUAAUUUUCUGAGAUAUGGAGAAAUAUGCUAAAAGUCGUCAUAAAACUCACAGCCACGUUUUCACUCCAUGGACUACUAUCUGCCAUUGUAGUUCUUCCAGCCAGGAAAUGAUAAAAGUUUUAAAAACGUAAAAUUUUUAGAUACGCGUUAUCUACAAAUUGAUUCUUGUGCUUCUGAUAUAAUAUUAUUUAUGCUUACAAGUACUACUGAUCACGUUUUAACUUCUCUUUUUGAGGUUUUGUUGAUUACAUACUCCGGCGAGUUUAAACGCGCCGUUUCAUCUUUUUACGUCGAGCUCCCUGAUUACAAUUUCCAGAACUUUAAAAUUGAGUUGGAGUCAAAAAUCGAGUGCAAUAUAGGUCGAGUUUUAUUCGAAAUAGGACGCAUUUAUAACGGAGAGUGUUAUAAUACUAAAAUUAUGAAUGUUUUAUUGUUUAUGUUGUCGAAAAACUCGCUCAAACUCCCAUAAAUAUUGUGCAAUGCUUCUCUUACUUUACAGUAGUGAGAACAAUGUUAAAAAUGAGACAGUUUAAAUAAAUUCUGAAAUGCAUUUCGCUUCACUUUCUCAACAGUUGAUGAUGAUGCAUUAUGAUCAACAAUCUCUAUAAUGCUCAUGAAUCCAUCUAAUAUAUAUAUAGAUAUAGAUAUAGAUAGAUAUAUAGCAAAAUCGAACAAAUGGCAGUAGUUUGAAACUGGUUGUGACUGAUUCAUCAUAUUGUGUGAUGAUGUAUAUAAUUGUCUUAUAUACUUUAAAUGUUUUAUGUAGUAUUUUGAAUUAUUGUACAUUAAAUCAGUGUUUUAA